GCCGCGGUGGCGGAAUGGCAGACGCAAUGGACUCAAAAUCCAUCGAUCGCAAGGUCAUGAGAGUUCGACUCUCUCCCGCGGCACCA
rnacentral:tRNA from 1 species